UACGAAGGGGGCUAGCGUUGUUCGGAAUUACUGGGCGUAAAGGGCGCGUAGGCGGUACUUCAAGUCAGGCGUGAAAGCCCCGGGCUCAACCUGGGAACCGCGCUUGAGACUGGAGAACUAGAGUUCGGGAGAGGAUGGUGGAAUUCCCAGGUGUAGAGGUGAAAUUCGUAGAUAUUGGGAAGAACACCGAUGGCGAAGGCAGCCAUCUGGACCGACACUGACGCUGAGGCGCGAAAGCGUGGGGAGCAAACAGGAUUGAGAAACCCC
rnacentral:rRNA from 1 species